CUGGGAAUCAAACCCUAGACCUUCUUCAAGCCACCGUGCCGCCCCUCAGCACUGGUGUUCCUGUCUCACGUCUGUUGAUUUCGGGAUUGGCUCCAGACCUCACGGAACCUUGACUGGUUGAACUGGGAAACACUAAUGAACCAAUAAAUGAAUAAACGAAGCACUUAAGCGUCCAGCCCGACUUGGCUUUUUUUUCUUUCUUUGUCUUUUGUCUUUCUUUCCUUCUUUCUUUCUCUGCAUCAGGACUAGCGUUCCUGUCUCAUACCACAGUUUAGAGAAAAAGAAAGAAAAAAAAGUAAGGACUGGCGUCCCUGUCUCGGUGAUUUUGGGAUUGGCUCCAGACCUCGCGGAACCCUGACUGGGAGA